rnacentral:rRNA from 1 species
AUGGCGACCGGCGUACGGGUGAGUAACGCGUAUCCAACCUGCCCUUUACUAUGGGACAGCCCGUCGAAAGGCGGAUUAAUACCGUAUGUUGUCAUGUUGAUGCAUAUUUUCAUGACCAAAGGCUUCGGCCGGUAAAGGAUGGGGAUGCGUCUGAUUAGCUUGCCGGCGGGGUAACGGCCCACCGGGGCGACGAUCAGUAGGGGUUCUGAGAGGAAGGUCCCCACAUUGGAACUGAGACACGGUCCAAACUCCUACGGAAGGCAGCAG